rnacentral:rRNA from 1 species
UACGUAGGGUGCGAGCGUUAAUCGGAAUUACUGGGCGUAAAGCGUGCGCAGGCGGUUCUCCAAGUCCGUUGUGAAAGCCCCGGGCUCAACCUGGGAAUGGCAGUGGAAACUAGGGGACUGGAAUCUGGCAGAGGGGGGUGGAAUGCCGCGUGUAGCAAUGAAAUGCGUAGAGAUGCGGCGGAACACCGAUGGCGAAGGCAGCCCCCUGGGCUGAGAUUGACGCUCAGGCACGAAAGCGUGGGGAGCAAACAGG